rnacentral:rRNA from 1 species
GCUAUGACCAUGAUUCGCCAAGCUUGCAUGCCUGCAGGUCGACUCUAGAGGAUCCAGUGUUUGAUCCUGGCUCAGAUUGAACGCUGGCGGCAGGCUUAACACAUGCAAGUCGAGCGGAAACGAUUCUAGCUUGCUAGAAGACGUCGAGCGGCGGACGGGUGAGUAAUGCUUAGGAAUCUACCGAGUAGUGGGGGAUAGCCAUUGGAAACGAUGAUUAAUACCGCAUAUAUCCUACGGGGGAAAGCAGGGGACCUUCGGGCCUUGCGCUAUUCGAUGAGCCUGAGUGAGAUUAGCUAGUUGGUGGGGUAAAGGCCUACCAAGGCGACGAUCUCUAGCUGGUCUGAGAGGAUGAUCAGCCACACUGGGACUGAGACACGGCCCAGACUCCUACGGGAGGCAGCAGUGGGGAAUAUUGCACAAUGGGCGAAAGCCUGAUGCAGCCAUGCCGCGUGUGUGAAGAAGGCCUUAGGGUUGUAAAGCACUUUCAGCGAGGAGGAAAGGUUAGUAGUUAAUAACUGCUAGCUGUGACGUUACUCGCAGAAGAAGCACCGGCUAAUUUAGUGCCAGCAGCCGCGGUAAUACUAAAGGUGCAAGCGUUAAUCGGAAUUACUGGGCGUAAAGCGCGCGUAGGUGGUUUGUUAAGUUGGAUGUGAAAGCCCAGGGCUCAACCUUGGAACUGCAUUCAAAACUGACUCACUAGAGUACGAGAGAGGUUAGUGGAAUUUCCUGUGUAGCGGUGAAAUGCGUA